GGUGGCGCAGUGGUUAAAAUGCUUAGCUGCUAACUGAAAGGUCGGUGGUUCGAAUCCACCCGCCACUU
rnacentral:tRNA from 1 species